GAUGAACGCUGGCGGCGUGCCUAAUACAUGCAAGUCGAGCGAACAGACGAGGAGCUUGCUCCUUUGACGUUAGCGGCGGACGGGUGAGUAACACGUAGGUAACCUACCUAUAAGACUGGGAUAACUUCGGGAAACCGGAGCUAAUACCGGAUAAUAUUUCGAACCGCCUGGUUCGAUAGUGAAAGAUGGCUUUGCUAUCACUUAUAGAUGGACCUGCGCCGUAUUAGCUAGUUGGUAAGGUAACGGCUUACCAAGGCAACGAUCCGUAGCCGACCUGAGAGGGUGAUCGGCCACACUGGAACUGAGACACGGUCCAGACUCCUACGGGAGGCAGCAGUAGGGAAUCUUCCGCAAUGGGCGAAAGCCUGACGGAGCAACGCCGCGUGAGUGAUGAAGGUCUUCGGAUCGUAAAACUCUGUUAUUAGGGAAGAACAAACGUGUAAGUAACUGUGCACGUCUUGACGGUACCUAAUCAGAAAGCCACGGCUAACUACGUG
rnacentral:rRNA from 1 species